rnacentral:rRNA from 1 species
GUAGGUGGCAAGCGUUGUCCGGAAUUAUUGGGCGUAAAGCGCGCGCAGGCGGUCCUUUAAGUCUGAUGUGAAAGCCCACGGGCUCAACCGUGGAGGGUCAUUGGAAACUGGGGACUUGAGUACAGAAGAGGAAAGCGGAAUUCCAAGUGUAGCGGUGAAAUGCGUAGAGAUUUGGAGGAACACCAGUGGCGAAGGCGGCUUUCUGGUCUGUAACUGACGCUGAGGCGCGAAAGCGUGGGGAGCAAACAGGAUUAGAUACCCUGGUAGUCCACGCCGUAAACGAUGAGUGCUAAGUGUUAGGGGGUUUCCGCCCCUUAGUGCUGCAGCUAACGCAUUAAGCACUCGCCUGGGGAGUACGGCCGCAAAGGCUGA